rnacentral:SRP_RNA from 1 species
CUGUAGGCUAUGGUGGCAGGUUAGCUCUCUGCUGUAAAUCCCGAACGAGCUUUACGGGUCCGAAGCCUUUCAGAGGCCAGUAUGAUUAUCAAGGGUCUUGUUCCGUACGACGACGCUUUGUCCUCAUCGGCUGGUAUGUUUCGAAUUGUGUCAGGCCAGGAAUGGAGCAGCACUAAGGAAGGUAUUUGGCGCUUUGGGGGUCGCAGAGCUGAGGAAAGAAUGAGAGUUACUCUUGGUAGUUGUAUUGUUCGAUGGGAGGCAGCCUAUAC